UACGAAGGGGGCUAGCGUUGCUCGGAAUCACUGGGCGUAAAGCGCACGUAGGCGGAUCUUUAAGUCAGGGGUGAAAUCCCAAGGCUCAACCUUGGAACUGCCUUUGAUACUGGGGAUCUCGAGUCCGGAAGAGGUGAGUGGAACUGCGAGUGUAGAGGUGAAAUUCGUAGAUAUUCGCAAGAACACCAGUGGCGAAGGCGGCUCACUGGUCCGGUACUGACGCUGAGGUGCGAAAGCGUGGUGAGCAAACAGG
rnacentral:rRNA from 1 species